GAAUUGUUCUUUAAUUUGAGAGUGGAAAAAUUGAUGGAAUACGUGAAAACUCUUUCAAUUCUCUAAUUCAUUUCCUUUUAGAGAAAUCUUGCAAUUGAUAGACAGGUUGACAGAAGUGAAAAAUAAGAUGAAGCGCUACGUCUGAAUUCUGUUUGACAGAAAGAUCGAUUAAGAUCUACUCGCUACUUGAUGCCCCUUGAUAAUGACACUUCAUUGCAUUACUUGUAAUAAUGACAGUGAAGUUGAUAAUUAUAAUCGA